rnacentral:rRNA from 1 species
CGGCGGACGGGUGAGUAAUGCCUAGGAAUCUGCCUGGUAGUGGGGGACAACGUUUCGAAAGGAACGCUAAUACCGCAUACGUCCUACGGGAGAAAGCAGGGGACCUUCGGGCCUUGCGCUAUCAAAUGAGCCUAGGUCGGAUUAGCUAGUUGGUGAGGUAAUGGCUCACCAAGGCGACGAUCCGUAACUGGUCUGAGAGGAUGAUCAGUCACACCGGAACUGAGACACGGUCCAGACUCCUACGGGAGGCAGCAGCC